rnacentral:rRNA from 1 species
CACCUAUGUUGCUUUGGCGGGCCCGCCUCGGCCACCGGCUCCGGCUGGUGAGCGCCCGCCAGAGGACCCCAAACUCUGAAAUUUAGUGUCGUCUGAGUACUAUAUAAUAGUUAAAACUUUCAACAACGGAUCUCUUGGUUCUGGCAUCGAUGAAGAACGCAGCGAAAUGCGAUAAGUAAUGUGAAUUGCAGAAUUCAGUGAAUCAUCGAAUCUUUGAACGCACAUUGCGCCCCUUGGUAUUCCGGGGGGCAUGCCUGUUCGAGCGUCAUUACAACCCUCAAGCUCUGCUUGGUAUUGGGCGUCCCCGGCGACGGGGUGCCCUAAAAUCAGUGGCGGUGCCGUCUGGCUCUAAGCGUAGUAAAUCUCUCGCUCUGGAUGCCCGGUGGAUGCUCGCCAGAACCCCCCAUUUUUUACAGGUUGACCU